GAGAAGUCUUCAUGGCAAAGAAAAGUGACUAUUACCAUAUGAAGAAGCAAAUUGAGUCAGAGUUUGUUGAUGGCACUGAUAGCCAGUUAGCAAAAUCUUUUCUUGACCUACCUAAGGCAGAACAACAAUUGAGACUGAAAGAUCGUUUAAAGAAAUAUUGUCAGAAGGCAUAUAAACGAGUAUUGGAUAAGACAGUUACUGAAGUUCGGGAAG